rnacentral:rRNA from 1 species
UAAUGUGGGAAUCUGCCUUUUGGUUUGGAAUAACACGGGGAAACUUGUGCUAAUACCGAAUAAGCCCUUACGGGGAAAGUUUUAACGCCGAAAGAUGAGCCCGCACUUGAUUAGCUAGUUGGUAAGGUAAAAGCUUACCAAGGCAAUGAUCAAUAGCUGUUCUUAGAGGAAGACCAGCCACAUUGGGACUGAGACACGGCCCAGACUCCUACGGGAGGCAGCAGUGGGGAAUCUUGCACAAUGGGGGAAACCCUGAUGCAGCGAUGCCGCGUGAGUGAAGAAGGCCCUUGGGUUGUAAAACUCUUUCGUCGAGGAAGAAAAUGACGGUACUCGAAUAAGAAGGUCCGGCUAACUUCGUGCCAGCAGCCGCGGUAAUACGAAGGGACCUAGCGUAGUUCGGAAUUACUGGGCUUAAAGAGCUCGUAGGUGGUUAAAAAAGUUGAUGGUGA